GUUUACUUCUGAAAAUCAAAAAAGGAGAAAAACAAAAGUGAAAAUAUGUUAACUGUUAAAUUAAUCAUGCAAUCCGGAAAACAAUUGGUUAUGAAGCUCCCAAUCACAGCUACCGUUUACGAGCUUAAGACUGAGCUUCAGAGUUUUCUCAAUAUAGUAGCCGGAAACAUGUGAAAUUUCUGCUUCUGAUGUAACGUUGGCCGAUUCAGAUCUCAGAGCAGAAGUUGCUGGUCUAGGCAACAAGAAACAAAUUAAGCCGGUUGUAUCUUGCUAUGAAGGCAACAAUUUUGUGUGAUUGAUACUAUUUUCUCUCGAAGCCGAGGAUAUCGACAAUUCGGUGUCAGACCCAAGUAUUGAAGUUGUGCCGCUCGAAGGAAGCGAAUCUUCCGUCAGUGAGCUAUCUUCAGGAUCCAGUAGCGAAUGAGUACAGCCAUCCACGAUUGAUUGCAAACGUGGUAUUAAACGAAAAGGCCAGGGACAUGGAAAACCCAUAGAGACUAAACGGUUCAAAAAGGUUCUCGAAUCGUGUGAGGAGAGUGUAGAAAGCCCCUCGUAUGGAUUUAAGGAGGAGGCAUGCGGUAUGGGAGGCUGCGGAAUUAAAUCCAGACCAUUCUUGGUUAAAUCUGAAAUCGAAAUGGAACCCGAUGUUAUAAAUGGUCAGCGGCCCCUUUACGUUAACA